GACAGAGGGUGCUAGCGUUGUUCGGAAUUACUGGGCGUAAAGGGCGCGUAGGCGGCUUGUUUAGUCGGGUGUGAAAUCCCGGGGCUCAACCCCGGAACUGCAUUCGAUACUGGCAGGCUAGAGACCGGAAGAGGUGGGUGGAAUACCCAGUGUAGAGGUGAAAUUCGUAGAUAUUGGGUGGAACACCGGUGGCGAAGGCGGCGCACUGGUCCGGAUCUGACGCUGAGGCGCGAAAGCCAGGGGAGCAAACGGG
rnacentral:rRNA from 1 species